UCGUAGGCUGGCCUCGCCAGUCAACCUCCGAUGCAGGAGCCAGGGAACCCGGUGAGAGGCCGGGACUGACGCGCAGCGGUAUGGGUGACGGGCGAGGCACGUAGCGAUACAGCCACUGGGUCGAGCAUGCGGACCUGGGAAGGCGCCUCGUCCGGCUGAUCCCGAGUCCGAAGACCUGCUGGCCCUAGCGGCGAUCG
rnacentral:ncRNA from 2 species